CGCUUUUUUCUCUUCGCUCGAUUCAUGCCGAGAACCGAGAUCCGACGCCGGCGUUGCGAUUCCUCGCGUCUGCUCGCCGGCGAUCGCUUCCGGCAUCUGCUUCGUCAUCUGUGAUGAAGGAUUCCAGGUUAGAGCAGGACGACUUGACCUAGCACUCGUGUUCCGAGACGCUUGGUAUACGAGGGUUUGGAAAGGAUUUUGGGUGAUCUAAGGGUUCCUGAUCCUCAGCUUGACCUAUUUGGAGGUAUGGGUGUGGAAGUGAUUAUCUAGUGGAAUAUUGUGGGUCGUUGGAUUCUGAUGGAGAAUGGGGGUGGACUUUUGCCUUUAUGAACCAAUUUUUUGGUGGGAUUCGGAGAUUCUCUUGUGCCUUUGCAUUCCUAAUAUGAGUGGAUAUAAGUGAGAAGAGGUCCCUCCGAGAGAGGACAGAAGGAUUGUUGAUCUGGAAUGGAAGAAACUCUGCAACAGCUCCACCUGGGCACUGUUGAAAUCCAUUGUUUCCAUUAGUGCUGAGAGCCGAUUGCUGAGGUCGUCGACCUCCUGGUGAAGUUUCUUGAUGCAGUUGCAUGUCUCGUGUAGGAGGUUUUCUGGAGAAGCCUGCAUCAGGCAGCAUCAGUGUGCAAAAGGAACUGGAGGUUGGAGAUGAGCUCAUUGAUCUCUUCCUCUGAGAUCCUGGACCUCCUGCUGGACAUCGUGGUCUUCAGCAAUAGCAAAUAGGAACUCUAAAGUGAUGAACUAAGUGCCAGCCUGAGAUUUUUAUAGGGGAGAAGUGACAUUAAGACAGGCACUCACAUGGGCAUACAGUGGUCAUGGCAUUCACAGCUUACAUGUGAUGAAGAGAGACAUGCCCUGCUAGAGUACUACAUUGAAUUCAUGAGGAUCACUCCAGGACUACCCUAAAGGCAAUCUGCUGGUGGAAGAUUUCCAUGAGUGUGAGUGACCGCAGCUAUUUCUCUACUAGAGCUAUGUUAAUUUCAAUGCUCUUGGUCAAGCUACUAAGGUUACUUAAAAAAGAUGUAACCAAUUUCAAUAUGUCUCUGGCCGAGCCACCAACAUAAAAUGAGAAAUAUUGUUUGGUCGGCCUUUGAAAUUGUGGGUUGAGUUCAUGAUCUUGAUCUCAAUUUUCAUUGGGCAAUGCACAUGGUCAUAUCUCAUAGAUCGUCAA